AUUUAUAUAGUUUAAACAAAACACUCCAUUUUCAAUGGAGAAUUAAGAAAUUAUCUUUAUAAA
rnacentral:tRNA from 1 species